GGAGGUCUUGGCUUAAUUAAAGUGUUUGAAUUGCAGUCAGAAGAUGUAUUAGUUUAAUACAGGCCUUCA
rnacentral:tRNA from 1 species